rnacentral:lncRNA from 1 species
AAAAAUUGAAGGGAACUGCAAAAAUUAUUUUCCUAUUUUUUCUGUAACUUCCGGUCUACCACAAUCAAACCACACGUUCUAAAAUUCAGUAACUUCUAAUAUCAACUGUAUCAUCUAUGUAUCUUCUAUAUAACAUUCAAUCAACUGUUUUUUUCUUCUAUAUUUUUCUCACGUUUUGUUUUCAAUAGUUUCAUCUUCUCUUUUUGUUUUAUUUGAGUUCUCAGUGUGGAAAAGAUCUUUAUUAUUCAUUCUUCUUCUUUGUUUCCCUGGAAACAAUAUUUGUGAUUCUUUCUUCAUAAUAAAAGUGUAAGAUUUGAUAUAUCUAUUUUGUAGUUUGAUUUUUAACAAAAUGAUGAAAAACGGAGUUGUUUCACAGAGUACUGCACGGACAUGAAAUUAUUCUCAAGGUAAAAAGCUAUUCUUUCUUUUUUUGUAAACCGAAAAAAGCUAUUCUUGUGGGAAAAGAUAAACACAUUUACAUUUAAUAUUAUGAUAUCCCAAAGUCUAUUUGAAUAGAUGAAACUUAGUCCUAUUUUGUAUGCAUUUUUAUAGCAAAAAGAUAGAAGUCAAGCUUUCGUAUAUUUUUUUGACAUAUGUGAACCUCUCUAGAGAGAGCAAAUUUCAAUUUGUUUACCUGCACACACAUUAGCUCUAUAAAAAGAAAAUACUAUUCUACCAAUAAAAUUUUAUGUAGAUCCGUAAAUCAAAUAUAAAACGUGUGUGCAGGAGACAACACAAAGACAUACAGUAAAAACUCUAUAAAUUUAUAAAGUUGAAACAAUAAUAUUUUAUUAAGUUAUUAUUAAUUACAAAAAGUUUUCUUUAAAAAUUUAAAAAUAUAGCUUUAUAUAGAAUAAGAAAAAUAUUUUAUUUUAGUAUAUAUCCAUUAACUAGUUUUUUUUUUAAUUCAACAUUUACAUUAACUAAUGUAUAUAAAAUAUGUUUCAUAAAAUCUAAUUGUUGUUUUAGAUAAAAUUUUACUAAAUAUCAAAAAAUAUAUUGAGCAAUAAGAAAAAAUUAAAAUAAUUUUAUUGUGAAUAAUAUAAUGGUAGGUUCAUAGUGGUAUAAAAUGUAUAUACAUAUACAUAUAUAAAUUAUUAAUUUAUAAUUUUAGUGUGAUCGUAUAUUUAAAUAAAAGUUUUUAAAAAAUUAUUAUCUUUUUAUUUUAUUGGUUUGUAUCAUAUUUUGAACCAACCCAAAUUGAAACUAGAGAUAUUUUUUAAUAUUUUUUUAUUAAUUUAUCGAAUAUUAAUUUAUAGAGUUUCUUCUAUAUAUAAACUAGUUGUCAACUUGGUGAUACAAUUUUGUUUUUGAUCACAGGGACAAGUCUCUAGGUAAUAAUCUUCUUCCUUUUGGUGUUCUCUUCACGGCUUGUGUAAGUUGAACCCAAACACUCUUGGAACAUAGCUUUGCGACGACACCUUUUUGGG